UACGUAGGGUGCAGGCGUUAAUCGGAAUUACUGGGCGUAAAGCGUGCGCAGGCGGUUUUGUAAGCCAGAUGUGAAAUCCCCGGGCUUAACCUGGGAAUGGCAUUUGGGACUGCAAGGCUCGAGUGCGGCAGAGGAGACUGGAAUUCCUGGUGUAGCAGUGAAAUGCGUAGAUAUUCGGAAGAACACCAGUGGCGAAGGCGACUUACUGGACGAUUGUUGACGCUGAGGUGCGAAAGCGUGGGGAGCAAACAGG
rnacentral:rRNA from 1 species